rnacentral:rRNA from 1 species
AUUGAACGCUGGCGGCAUGCUUUACACAUGCAAGUCGAACGGCAGCACGGGUGCUUGCACCUGGUGGCGAGUGGCGGACGGGUGAGUAAUGCAUCGGAACGUGUCCUGAAGUGGGGGAUAACGCAUCGAAAGAUGUGCUAAUACCGCAUAUUCUCUGAGGAGGAAAGUAGGGGAUCGAAAGACCUUAUGCUUUUGGAGCGGCCGAUGUCUGAUUAGCUAGUUGGUAGGGUAAUGGCUUACCAAGGCGACGAUCAGUAGUUGGUCUGAGAGGACGACCAGCCACACUGGGACUGAGACACGGCCCAGACUCCUACGGGAGGCAGCAGUGGGGAAUUUUGGACAAUGGGCGCAAGCCUGAUCCAGCAAUGCCGCGUGAGUGAAGAAGGCCUUCGGGUUGUAAAGCUCUUUCAGUUGAGAAGAAAAGUCGUGACUAAUAAUCAUGAUUCAUGACGGUAUCAACAGAAGAAGCACCGGCUAACUACGUG